GUGUAUUACAGUGUGUGUGUGUGUGUGUGUGUGUGUGUGUGUGUGUGUGUGUGUGUGUGUGUGUGUGUGUGUGUGUGUGUGUGUGUGUGUGUGUGUGUGUGGAGAGAGAGGGAGAGAGAAGUAGAGAUAAUGAGCUCUUUCUGAGUGUGACUUCAUGUGACAUUAACUGCAUUAGAUUUUACCCCCUUUCGUGCACCUACCUUCCCAUAAGUGUGUGUGUGUUUGUUUGUUUUAGUGUGUAUUUGUGAUCACUUUUACAGCAAAAGCUCACCCUGCACAUUUUGUCACCUAAUCUUUUGUC